rnacentral:lncRNA from 1 species
CUUCAUUGUUGUUGUUGUUGUUUUUUUCAGGAACAUUGCAGAAGCUUCUUAUUGCACUUCAUGUUUCAAAUCUUUCUCCACUACACUCUAUCUUCUACAAAGUGACCAAAAUGAUUUUCCUAAAAGCCUACCCUGCUUCCUGGGAAUUCUGUAACUGGGAGGCUAUAGGCAUUAGGAUGGUGAAACAGACAGAGACACAUGCCAGCAAAGAAACAUUAAGAGACCAAAAAACAAAAAUACCUGCACAUCUUUAUGAACAAGCAUUUCGCGAAGACAAAGGAACUGUAAACCCACCUUUAUAUGAGUGAAAUCACAGGCUCGGGAAAGCAAAAAUCUAUUUGGGUAGCUCUUGCUUCCCAGGCUCCUCUUUGGUUUCCGCUCAUGGAUCUUGGAUCUACUUGGCAACAAAAGAUAAAGAAAAUGAGGCAGAGAAUGGUGAGUUGCUCAUGUUCUGGUCUUGACUCCACAUCCAAUACUCUAUCCUUUGUACCACCUAGUUGUCAUAGUUAAGGAGCCAUUAAGUAUUCCUUAAUGGAGAAGGAAGCCCACAGCAAACAGCUAUCAUUCAAUGGAGAAAUAGCAGAUGACAGAGCAAUGAAGAAAGAAGCCCAGCAGAUGACAUCCACAGCCCAGCAGAUGAAAGCAGCGAUUCUUUGGAGAAGUAUCAAGCGGCCAAGAGGUGGUUGUUCUUUAAGGAUUAUGGUAAUGAGGAAUCAGAUCUGCCACCCUCUUCCCUGUACCUCCCUCCUCCCUUCUCCCUC